rnacentral:rRNA from 14 species
UCGGGCGACUGUAUAGCAAAUACACAGGGUUUAGUUAAAGAUGUUUAUAUUUUAGAGCUGAUAUGUGACCAGUAUUUAUAGGCUCAUCGAUGCCUCUACAAACGUUGGCCGUAACUAUAACGGUCCCAAGGUAGCAAAUUUCCUUGUCGUUUAAGUAACGACCUGCAUGAAGGAUGGAACGAUUCGAUAGCUGUCUUGCGUACAUGUGCUGGUGAAAUAUUAGGGAGUGUGAAGAUACGGUAACAACGUUAUGGGACAAAAAGACCCUGUGAAGCUUUAUAGGGAUAUAAUUUAGUACAGGUUCUAUAUUGGUAUAUCUUCAUUUCAAGGUAAAACAGUGAGAUACCAUUCAUUGAGAAUACGAUUAGCUAAUAUAACAAGCCCACUCUACCUCAGACUGAAAUAGAUACCCGUGUGAUAUUUUUUGAAACCACAUGUUAUAACACGUGUGAUGCAUUUAGGUGUGUGAUCUCUAUCUCUCUAUCUUAAAGUGGGUGCCUUAAUGUUGUGAAUAAUGUUAGAUGGGCUGUUUCAUUGGGGAGAUGACCUUCUUGAAUCGAACUAAAGGUUCACUAAGCUAUUGAUGUGGGCUUUGAUAAAGGACUAGUAAGUGCAAAGAUAGAUGUGUGGCUUAAUGGUAAAGCGUUUAAUCCAGUAUUUAAAUGGUGUCUUAGUGACCUUCAAAUGAAUUUAUCAGAUAAAAGCUACUCUAAGGAUAACAGGCUUCAUUUAUUGGAUAGCUCACAUUAACAAAAUGGUUUUGCACCUCGAUGUCGGCUUAUCUUUUCCAAAUGGAAAGCAAUCAAUCUGGAGUGGGAGUGCUCAUCCCAUAACAAGGUACGUGAGCUGGGUUCAGAACGAUGUAAAUCAGUUUGGUCUAUAUCUGUAACUUUAUAAAAUGGGAGUGUUGUUUGCUCAGUACGCAAGGACCGGCAA